rnacentral:rRNA from 1 species
UACAGAGGGGGCAAGCGUUGUUCGGAAUUACUGGGCGUAAAGGGCGCGUAGGCGGCCUUCUAAGUCGAACGUGAAAUCCCCGGGCUCAACCCGGGAACUGCGUCCGAUACUGGAAGGCUUGAAUCCGGGAGAGGGAUGCGGAAUUCCAGGUGUAGCGGUGAAAUGCGUAGAUAUCUGGAGGAACACCGGUGGCGAAGGCGGCAUCCUGGACCGGCAUUGACGCUGAGGAGCGAAAGCCAGGGGAGCAAACGGG